GAUGAAGAACGCAGUGAAAUGCGAUAAGUAGUGUGAAUUGCAGAAUUCAGUGAAUCAUCGAAUCUUUGAACGCACAUUGCGCCCCUUGGUAUCCCGAGGGGCAUACCUGUUCGAGCGUCAUUUCACCACUCAAGCCUGGCUUGGUGUUGGGCGACGUCCCCUUUGGGGACGCGCCUCGAAACGCUCGGCGGCGUGGCACCGGCUUUAAGCGUAGCAGAAUCUUUCGCUUUGGAAGUCGGGGCCCCGUCUGCCGGAAGACCUACUCGCAAGGUUGACCUCGGAUCAGGCAGGGAUACCCGCUGAACUUAAGCAUAUCAAUAAGCGGAGGA
rnacentral:misc_RNA from 1 species